UACGUAGGGGGCAAGCGUUGUCCGGAUUUACUGGGCGUAAAGAGCGCGCAGGCGGUCAGAUAAGUCGAAUGUGAAAGCCCCCGGCUCAACUGGGGAGGGGCAUUCGAUACUGUUCGACUCGAAGGCAGGAGAGGGAAGUGGAAUUCCCGGUGUAGUGGUGAAAUGCGUAGAUAUCGGGAGGAACACCAGUGGCGAAGGCGACUUCCUGGCCUGUUCUUGACGCUGAGGCGCGAAAGCUAGGGGAGCAAACGGG
rnacentral:rRNA from 1 species